rnacentral:rRNA from 1 species
GAUGGGAUCUGGUCAGUGGAAUUUAAUUUUAAACACACGCCUUAGCGUGAGGGUGAUAAUGUAGCAUAAUAAUUUGGCAUUUAAUUGAUGUUUGGAAGGAAUGGUGAAACGAUUUUAUAUCUGUCUCAAAUUUUUAUGAAUAAAAAUUAAAUUUAUAGUUAAGAUUUUAUAUUAAGCUUAAAAGACGAGAAGACCCCAUAAACCUUUACUAUAAAUUAUAUAAAUUUAACUUUAAAGUUAAAUUUAUAUAAAAUGGUAGUUUGGCUGGGGCGGCAAUCUUCUAAAAUAACGAAGAUAUAUAUUUAUAAUAACGUUAUUUUUUUUUAAAAAAAUUUUUAUAAAUUGUUUUAAAAAAAAUUAUAACAAAAAGAAAUUUGAUAUAUUGACCUUUUUUUUUAAAAAAAAAAU